rnacentral:rRNA from 1 species
CACGUAGGAGGCGAGCGUUGUCCGGAAUCACUGGGCGUAAAGGGCGCGUAGGCGGCUCAUGAAGGCUGUGGUGAAAGUCCGGGGCUCAACCUCGGAUCGGCCGUGGCGACUCGUGGGCUGGAGCACUGUAGAGGCGGGUGGAAUUCCGGGUGUAGCGGUGGAAUGCGUAGAGAUCCGGAAGAACACCAGUGGCGAAGGCGGCCCGCUGGGCAGUGGCUGACGCUGAAGCGCGACAGCGUGGGGAGCAAACAGG